AUUGAACGCUGGCGGCAGGCCUAACACAUGCAAGUCGAACGCGUGGCGGACGGGUGAGUAAUGUCUGGGACCCUGCCUGAUGGAGGGGGAUAACUACUGGAAACGGUAGCUAAUACCGCAUACCAACGGAUGUGCCCAGAUGGGAUUGGCUAGUAGGUGGGGUAACGGCUCACCUAGGCGACGAUCCCUAGCUGGUCUGAGAGGCUGACCAGACACACUGGAACUGAGACACGGUCCAGACUCCGACGGGAGGCAGCAGUGGGGAAUAUUGCACAAUGGGCGCAAGCCUGAUGCAGCCAUGCCGCGUGUAUGAAGAAGGCCUUCGGGUUGUAAAGUACUUUCAGCGGGGAGGCGUUACCCGCAGAAGAAGCACCGGCUAACUCCGUGCCAGCAGCCGCGGUAAUUC
rnacentral:rRNA from 1 species